UACGGAGGGGGCUAGCGUUGUUCGGAAUUACUGGGCGUAAAGCGCACGUAGGCGGCUUUGUAAGUUAGAGGUGAAAGCCCGGGGCUCAACUCCGGAAUUGCCUUUAAGACUGCAUCGCUAGAAUUGUGGAGAGGUGAGUGGAAUUCCGAGUGUAGAGGUGAAAUUCGUAGAUAUUCGGAAGAACACCAGUGGCGAAGGCAGGUCUCUGGGCCGAUACUGACGCUGAGGAGCGAAAGCGUGGGGAGCGAACAGG
rnacentral:rRNA from 1 species